rnacentral:rRNA from 1 species
UACGAAGGUGGCAAGCGUUGUUCGGAUUUACUGGGCGUACAGGGAGCGUAGGCGGUUGGAUAAGCCCUCCGUGAAAUCUCCAGGCUUAACCUGGAAAGUGCAGAGGGGACUGUUCAGCUAGAGGAUGGGAGAGGAGCGCGGAAUUCCCGGUGUAGCGGUGAAAUGCGUAGAGAUCGGGAGGAAGGCCGGUGGCGAAGGCGGCGCUCUGGAACAUUUCUGACGGCUGAGGCUCGAAAGCGUGGGGAGCAAACAGG